UGCUGGUGGAAAUUUCGUCAGUUCAUGCCCAGGCUGCAGGUCAGACUGUCUUUAACUACGCCAGGAGUGUUAAGCUCUGUAUAGGCUGAUUUUCUCAGCAUCAAGGUACCUAGGGCUCUCCCAGAGCCUGACUUGCCUGGAGGAAUGGGAUAGCCAGCUGUAGCUUUCUCUGGACUUGCUAUGAGGCCCAAAUGGCAGGGCACUCACUUGUGAAGGUCCCAGCCACGGGUAAAUGUCUCAUUAGCAACUUAGACCUAAUCAUAAGGCUACAGAAUGACCUCUUUCUCCUUCCCACCACAUGAAUAGGACCCCCUUGUGACAGCGAGGAUUCACCUUCACAUCUCCUACCUGGAUUAAGAAGCCUCUGGAGUGCCUCAGAUACCUGCAGUUCCAGCAAACAGUGUGAAUCCUCACCACACAGACAGAACUCUGUCACACAAAAGUAGAAAGGCCUGUUUACUUCAGUUUCUUCAAUGCAGGAUGGUGGCUGUUGAGAACUCAUCUUCCCAAUGCCUGGGGACUCCUGCACACAGAGUGACCAGGUCUCACCAUGUCUGUGAUCUUCCUACAAAAUUCGUAGUCUGACUGUAAUCACAGGGCACCACCAGAACUAACCCAAAUCUAGCACAGAUGGACAGCACCCAUUGGAAAGGAACAUGCAGACACUGGCCCCAGGAGGCUGGGGUAUCCACAGGGGAGGGAAGAGUACCAGACUGAUCUAAUUCUAACCCAGCAGCCUGGGAUCAGCUUCAGAGCAUUUCUUCAACUGGCAGUUGCUUUCGGGAUUUGCAUCUCAAUCCUCCCAAAUGUUGGAGACCGCUUGGACAAACCUUCAAGUCAAUCAAAAGGAUUAGCAGGAUAUUGAAUCCAAGAUUCAGAUCCCCAGCUAUUUCCAGAAGAUGUGAAUGGCAUAAAAGCAAUAGGACACCAAGAAGAGCCUGCCAUUGUAACUCUUCAUGAAAUCCCAACCUCUGCCUUCCAGACUAGGUGUGCAUUUAUUUGCAUUUUUCCCUUUUCCUCUCUUGUUUGGCCCAUUUGCUCUGCAGAGCCAGUUUUUGCUUUUCAAAUAAACUUUGUUGUUA